GACGAACGCUGGCGGCGUGCUUAACACAUGCAAGUCGAACGGAAAGGCCCUGCUUUUGUGGGGUGCUCGAGUGGCGAACGGGUGAGUAACACGUGAGUAACCUGCCCUUGACUUUGGGAUAACUUCAGGAAACUGGGGCUAAUACCGGAUAGGAGCUCCUGCUGCAUGGUGGGGGUUGGAAAGUUUCGGCGGUUGGGGAUGGACUCGCGGCUUAUCAGCUUGUUGGUGGGGUAGUGGCUUACCAAGGCUUUGACGGGUAGCCGGCCUGAGAGGGUGACCGGCCACAUUGGGACUGAGAGACGGCCCAGACUCCUACGGGAGGCAGCAGUGGGGAAUAUUGCACAGUGGGCGGAAGCCUGAGGCAGCAACGCCGCGUGCGGGAUGACGGCCUUCGGGUUGUAAACCGCUUUCGCCUGUGACGAAGCGUGAGUGACGGUAAUGGGUAAAGAAGCACCGGCUAACUACGUG
rnacentral:rRNA from 1 species